AGAGCGAACGCUGGCGGCAGGCCUAACACAUGCAAGUCGAGCGCCGUAGCAAUACGGAGCGGCAGACGGGAGAGUAACACGUGGGAACGUACCUUUCAGUUCGGAACAACCCAGGGAAACUUGGGCUAAUACCGGAUACGCCCUUACGGGGAAAGAUUUAUCGCUGAAAGAUCGGCCCGCGUCUGAUUAGCUAGUUGGUGGGGUAACGGCCCACCAAGGCUACGAUCAGUAGCUGGUCUGAGAGGAUGAUCAGCCUCACUGGGACUGAGACACGGCCCAGACUCCUACGGGAGGCAGCAGUAGGGAAUAUUGGACAAUGGGGGAAACCCUGAUCCAGCAAUGCCGCGUGAGUGAGGAAGGCCUUAGGGUUGUAAAGCUCUUUCGCACGCGACGAUGAUGACGGUAGCGUGAGAGAAGCCCCGGCUAACUUCGUGCCAGCAGCCGC
rnacentral:rRNA from 1 species